CGCUGACACCGCCGCCGGCGGCGGCGCUACCGGCACAGAUGCUGACGCGCUUGCCGUUGGCGGAGCAGUAGGACAUGUCGGACACGGCCGCGAAAGCCGCGCCGGUCGCCGAGUAGAGCAGCGCCGGCACGGCGACGCCCAGCAGCGGCAUGAGCACCUUGGUCGUCUUGUCCUUGCCCUUCUUCCACACGACGAGGAAGAUGGCGAUGGCCUCCAGGAACGCCGCGAUGGAGGCGGCGCCCACGAGGAAGACGAAGGGCGGGAAGUCGCUGUACGUGACCGUGCGCGCGCGCG
rnacentral:lncRNA from 1 species